ACUGGCACCUUUCCCCAUCGUCUCCCACCUCUCAACUUCCCCUUUUUCUCACUGCUGGCUAGAGACUCCAUUGUCAGCCCCCAAUUUCACUCGCCCUGCCGCCGCCGUCCCCCCGGCUUGGCUCGUGCUGCUUUAUACCGCUUAGCUCGUCCGCCCCUGGCCCCUGGCUCCCUCGCGCGGCCACCGGCCCGAGCUUUGGGCGCGCGGCCCCGCUCCCCGGCUCUGUCGCGCGCUCCUGCCCCGGGUCCCUCGCGCGGCCGCCCGGCGCAGAUUCGCUCGCCUGGCCCCGCCCCCCACUCCCUUGCGCACCCCUGCCACCGGCUGCCUCGCGCGGCCCCUGCCCCAUCUUACCUUGCUUUUCUGCUGCUCACCAUGUACUCUCGUCCCUUUUUUCAGCAUGACGUUACUUCUGCUAUAGUUAAUUUUAAAUAAACAUUGGCUGUCGUGUGGACAACUCCUGGGAUCAAGGCAAGAGCGACCAAAGAUUGCUAGAAGACUUGUGGAUUUAAGUCUAGCACCCAAGCGAUGCCCAGCCAGACAUAGCCAUCGAUUGAUGUUUGUGCUCGGCUCAGUGGUCCGCAAAUGGUCUAGGUGCCCGCAACUUGAGGUAGCUGUGUGAGUCAGCCGCGUAUGGCUCAGGAUCAGCACCACACACCUUCCUGCCACUAUCUCCGUCGGCCGCCGGAGGCAUGCAUUACAAACUUUCAGAGGCCAAGCAGGUUACCUGGAAUCCUGGACCAAUGAUCGAUCUUGGAAGCAGCCAUUCCACCUCCUCUGCCAAUAAUGCCACCGCCUAUGGAUUGGCAAGGGCAUUGCAUGGAUGAGUCCAGUCUGCAAUUGCCACUGCAUGGAAUGCAUAUUACAGAACUGAAAGCCAAUGACAGUGGCUGGAGCAAUGACAAAAGCUACUCAAGUUCUGUAACAAGUUGAUGUCAGUUAUUCGGAGCAGCAACAUGAUUAGCCUGUGGCAGCACCAUCAUUGGAAACCCACUAAUGUCCUCAUGAUUACUCGAUUCCCUGGUUUGACCCUUCGAGGCAUGAGCGGGAUCUGGGGAUGAUGCCUUGAAGAACAUGACAAAGAACAGAGGAUAUUGUUCUAUGUAUCUCUGAUACUUGUGGGGUAUUGUAAAUCCAGAAAAAAAGCAUGCCUGAUUCGAAAGGGGGAGAGGGUGUUACAUACCUGAACUCCCUAAACUUCUCCGAUGAUCCGCCUUGUGACUCAAUGAAAUUCGGGAGGGACAGGUUGAACUCCAGAUACACGAGAUCUCUAGCUCGAGCCAUGGUUCAGUGUACCCUUUAUAUGACUGCUUCCUUCUCGCAAAUGUUUAUGGGAAAUGUUUUAAUUACCAUAGCGUAAUGUAUGGGUCGAGUUAAUUUAAAUUAAUUGUUCACUGUAAUUUGAGGGAAGGUGAUUUGUGAGAUUCCUAAACUGGCCCAGGCUGUUAAAUGCCUGAACGACCAACAGAACGACCAACAGGACCAAA